UACGUAGGGUGCAAGCGUUGUCCGGAAUUAUUGGGCGUAAAGAGCUCGUAGGCGGUCUGUCGCGUCUGCUGUGAAAACUCAGGGCUUAACCCUGAGCUUGCAGUGGGUACGGGCAGACUAGAGUGCGGUAGGGGAGACUGGAAUUCCUGGUGUAGCGGUGAAAUGCGCAGAUAUCAGGAGGAACACCGAUGGCGAAGGCAGGUCUCUGGGCCGAUACUGACGCUGAGACGCGAAAGCGUGGGGAGCAAACAGG
rnacentral:rRNA from 1 species